rnacentral:miRNA from 12 species
UAAACAUUCUACUUAAACUAGCUAGAAAAGCUGAAGAGAUGCUUUUCAUCUCUCUUGUUUAACUUCUCAAAGGGAGUUGUAAGGGAACUGUUAUGUCAUGGCCUG